AUUCUCUUUGCUGCCCCUGCUGGUGGGGGGAGGGACUAUAAAACCCAGAAGUUGUGUGCCUCACUCAGUCUCUGCAAGAUGGAGGACGCCAGAGGGUCACGUGUCUCUGAGCUCUGAAUAACACCAAACAUAUGUCUACUCAACUGUGAGUGCCCUUAAUGUGGUUUGAAAAUGAGAAUAUGGUUGGUUUGCAGUAAACAGGCACUGCAUGCAAUUGGUUGUUUGGGGGGGGGUUUGGGUUGAAGUAAAAAGGCACUGCAUGCAAAUGGUUGUUUGGGUGGUUUGGGCUGAAGUAAAAAGGCACUGCAUGCAAAUGGUUGUUUGGAGGGUUUGGGUUGUAAAAAGUAGCAAUGUUACAAAAUUUUGAGAUUUAAAAAAUCAAGUCUGCAAUUUAUCCCAUCAGAUAAAGCAUAACAAUAAGUUUAAUUUGACACCUAAUUUACUUUCAUAUCUCAAGUAAUAAAAAAGUUAUGGCCAUUUUCAUACUCGGAAAUUAGCAUCUUGUUCCCUAUUGAUUUUCUAUGGACAUAACAAAAAAGCUGUGAUCGUGGACAGUCAAAAGCCCAUAACCUUCUUAAAAAUUAAGAGAACUGAAUGAAAUUUUCAGUUAUCAUAGAUUGAAGCAUUCUGAAACAAAUAUAAAAUAAUCUUACUUGGAUGACCUGAAAUUAAAGCAUAUAAUUAGUUAGUUACCCAAUUGUAGCUAAUUUCAAACUUCAAUUACUAGAUCUAAACAUCUAUCCAUUUUUUAAAGGGAUGUAAUGUUAAAAUUGUACAAGGCAUUGGUGAGACCAAAUCUGGAGUAUGGUGUACAAUUUUGGUCGCCCAAUUAUAGGAAGGAUGUCAACAAAAUAGAGAGAGUACAGAGGAGAUUUACUAGAAUGUUGCCUGGGUUUCAACAACUAAGUUACAGAGAUAGGUUGAAUAAAUUAGGUCUUUAUUCUCUGGAGCGCAGUAGGUUAAGGGGGGACCUGAUAGAGGUCUUUAAAAUGAUGAGAGGGAUAGACAGAGUUGAUGUGGACAAGCUUUUCCCUUUGAGAAUAGGGAAGAUUCAAACAAGAGGACAUGACUUCAGAAUUAAGGGACCGAAGUUUAGGGGUAAUAUGAGGGGGAACUUCUUUACUCAGAGAGUGGUAGCGGUGUGGAAUGAGCUUCCAGUGGAAGUGGUGGAGGCAGGUUCAUUGGUAUCAUUUAAAAAUAAAUUGGAUAGGCAUAUGGAUGAGAAUGGAAUGGAGGGUUAUGGUAUGAGUGCAGGCAGGUAGGACUAAGGGGAAAAAAAAUUUGUUCGGCACGGACUUGUAGGGCCGUGAUGGCCUGUUUCCGUGCUGUAAUUGUUAUAUGGUUAUAUAUGGUUAAUAGGACGGAGCCGCUCAAUCCAUCUGGAAGACAUCCGUCACUUCCAGUAUAUGUUAUUAAUGCAAGAAACGUGUACUUUCCUAUCUGCUAAAAACUGGCAAAAUGUUGAAUUUGUGCUCUGAAAAAAAUUGUGGAAGGUGGGGUAAGUGUGAGAGACAUGUACCCAACAUUAGAAUUCCAAACGUGAAAUGAAAUUAAGGUAAAGAGAAGCGAGAAUUGAAGGGACAACAGCAGCUAAAGUGCUUGGUAAACAUUGGCUGUGCAGAUAUCGUAAUUGAAAAUAUUGGAAUUAUCGUGUUUGCUCUCUGCAUUUCAUCAACAGUAAGGCAUUAUUCGUGUUUUUUCUUGAUUCCUUUGGUAUCAAAAAAAUUCUCAGAAGUGAUAAAUCUGGCUGUAAAUUUUUCUUCAGAUGCGUUUUCAUUUUGUACGUAAAAACCCACUUGAGAACCAUGGGCGAUUUUAAAAACAAAAAUUAAAAAAAAAAUACUGCCAGAUUUAUCACUUCUGAAACUUUUUAGAUGCCAAAGGAAUCAAGAAAAAACACAAAUAAUGCUUUAGUGUUGAUGAAAUGUAGUGAGCAAACGGCCAAUGUUCGCUAAGCACUCUGUCUGUUGUCCCUUCAGCUCUCACUUCUAUCGACCGUCAUUUCUCCUCACUUUCGGAAUUCUGAAGUAGGCUAAAUGUCUCACAUGCUCAUCCCGAUUUCCAUCAUUAUUUGCAGCGCAAAAAUGGACAUUUCCGGCUGGUUUUAACGGACCCGCUACGUUCAGAUUCAGAUUCAACUUUAAUUGUCGUUGUCAGUGUACAGUACAGAGACAACGAAAAGCGGUUAGCAUCUCCCUGGAAGAUGGAGUUGGAAACAAUGGAAAUAGUCAUCAAGAGGCAGUGAGCAGCAGAACACAACAAGACACAACAAGUAAAAACUUAAUAAAUCUCAUCUUUAAAAUUUAAA